rnacentral:lncRNA from 1 species
AUUCAAUCAAAAACGGACGGCCCAGAUUAAAUCAAAAUGGACGGCUGAGAUCAAAAGGCAAAAGAGUAUAAAUAAGACCCCCACACCAGACCACAAACCCUAGCCGCCUGCCCUCGCCGAAGAAGACGAACCAGAAGCCGGCCGCCGCCACCCGCCGCCGCACCGGAGGGAUUUCCGACCGCCGAUCGAGGUAAAUUUCAUACCCCCGACUUGUUUUUCCACGCUGAUUUCCCCUGUGGCCAAAUCGGAGCCAAAAUCCCGGCCAAACGGCCGGGGCCCAGCGGCGCCGCUGCAC